UGUCAUGGGCGUAGCUGAUGCAGCACGCGCGUGAGUGAUGAGGCCUUCGGGUUGUAACCUCUGUUAUCAGGACGAUAUGACCGUACCUGUAGAUAAGCUCCGGCUAACUUCGUGACAGCAGCCGCGGUAAUAGUA
rnacentral:rRNA from 1 species